GCCGCAUGGAAAUAUGAUCUGCCGGCUGCCGCUGGCAGUCAGGAAGGGAAGGUGGACAUGGAGAGAGCAAGCAAAAGCUGGAGUCUCAAGGAGAUGAAGUGGAACCCAGGGCUGUAUCUCAUUAGAGCGCAUGUUGGCCUCUCAUCACUUCCAGGCCUCCGGCUUUGAAGAUGCUCGGGGAGUUGCUUUGGAGGGCUACGUGGAGAGAAUGGGAUUGCGUUGAAAACUGAGGCCUUAGGCUUUGGUUGAAAACCGAGGCCAAGGGUGACCAGCCAGUGAGUUAAGGAGGCCCCAGCCGAACUUUGCUGGAAGUGCUCCAGCAUAAAGCCUCUCUCCAGAACCAGCCGCCACUGAGACGUCUUGAAGUCAAAGUAACUCACACCCUUGUCCACCUCGCCCUGCGGUGAAGAAACUUCGGUCGCACAGGCUCCAGAACUCAUCUUGGCGUGGGCUGUGACUUACUGGGGGAUGGGCCUCCUUUUCGUUCUAGCUCCUAAAUGGAGCGGAGCGCCAGGUGGUGUCAGAGGGGGCGGCGGCCCCUCCAAUGGUGGCACCCUCAGCCACGGAUAAGGUUCCAAUUAGGUAAGGACGCAAGUAAUGCUGUCGUUUCGGCUGACUGCUCCUUUCAUUCCUUGGAGGUGGUCGGUGUCACAAAACGAAUUUUCAUUUACUCUCAACAGUCACACCAGCCCUGCUAACUGGAUGGUCGCAGCCCCGUGCCUUCGCCGGACGCCCUCCUGGAACCUUCAGGCCACCCUGAGGAUGGAGACUCGGGUGCCCGCUCUCCUCCCCUACCGCCGCGGGCCUGCGCCCCCCGCCCCGGACCCCGACUCGGACGUUCUAGCCGCACGUGC
rnacentral:lncRNA from 10 species